GCCCCCGUAGCUCAGAGGAUAGAGCAGCGGUUUCCUAAACCGUUGGUCGGGUGUUCGACUCACCCCGGGGGUA
rnacentral:tRNA from 1 species